GACGAACGCUGGCGGUGUGCUUAACACAUGCAAGUCGAACGGUAAGGCCCUUUCGGGGGUACACGAGUGGCGAACGGGUGAGUAACACGUGAGUAACCUGCCCUCAUCUCUGGGAUAACAGUCGGAAACGGUUGCUAAUACUUGAUAUGAGCUUGCAAGGCAUCUUGUGGGUUGGAAAGAUUUUUUUUGGUUGGGGAUGGACUCGCGGCCUAUCAGCUUGUUGGUGAGGUAGUGGCUCACCAAGGCUUCGACGGGUAGCCGGCCUGCGAGGGCGACCGGCCACAUUGGGACUGAGAUACGGCCCAAACUCCUACGGGAGGCAGCAGUGGGGAAUAUUGCACAAUGGACGGAAGUCUGAUGCAGCAAAGCCGCGUGCGGGAUGACGGCCUUCGGGUUGUAAACCGCUUUCAAUUGUGACGAAGCUUUUUUGUGACGGUAGCAGUAGAAGAAGCACCGGCUAACUACGUG
rnacentral:rRNA from 1 species